UCGAGAAUUUUUCACAAUGGGGGAAACCCUGAUGGAGCGACGCCGCGUGGGGGAUGAAUGGCUUCGGCCCGUAAACCCCUGUCAUUUGCGAACAAAUUGGUUCAAUUAAUAGCUGAACCAUUGAUAGUAGCGAAAGAGGAAGGGACGGCUAACUCUGUGCCAGCAGCCGCGGUAAUACAGAGGUCCCAAGCGUUGUUCGGAUUCACUGGGCGUAAAGGGUGCGUAGGCGGUCGGAUAAGUCUGAUGUGAAAUCUCUGGGCUUAACCCAGAAAUGGCAUUGGAUACUAUUUGGCUUGAGAGUUGGAGGGGGGACUGGAAUUCUUGGUGUAGCAGUGAAAUGCGUAGAUAUCAAGAGGAACACCAGUGGCGAAGGCGAGUCCCUGGACAACUUCUGACGCUGAGGCACGAAAGCUAGGGGAGCAAACAG
rnacentral:rRNA from 1 species